CUGAUUGUAAUGCAAAGUAUGAUUGAGUGUGUAGCAUGUAUAUAAUUGAGUUAUGUUCCAAGUAAAAGUAUGUGAUUCAAAGUGGCGAAUGUAUGUGAUUCAAAGUGGUGAAUGUAAACUUCAAUGUAAAAUCUCUUGGUGAGAUUCAAGUUUGUUUAGAAUGAAUGCAGGAGCUCAGCCUUGGGGGUUAUCCUAAAACUCCAAUGGACUUUCACUCUCAUACAUAGAGGAUUGAUCCAUAUCGUGAGGAGUAGCAGGAGGUUUUAGUCUUGGGGGCUUCCAGUAUGCCUCAAGGCGUGGUACAGACUAACCUUGUGAGAUUGGUAGGGUGAAACCCAUUGACAAUGGCUUUGCAAAGCAGUAAAGGCCACCACAAGUGCACAACCCGCCAUAGCUCAACAAUCAUUCUAAGUCCGGACAAGUCAAGUCUAUGUCAUAACAUGUUAGGAUGGUUCAAUUAGUUGUAUUGUAUGAAUACUCUUGUGUAGUUAUAUGUCAUGUGAUAACAUGAAUGCUUUUACAUCUAGCUUAUCCUUUUUGCUUGUGUUAUGUUUUGUAUGUGCUGUGUUAUUUCAUUUUGCAAUGAUCAUCCAAUAGAUGUGAGCAGAGGGAAAUGAGGUUUCAGUGGAGCGGGC
rnacentral:lncRNA from 1 species